GCCACCCGUCCAAAACACGUACGGAAGGUGCAGAAGGGAUAGAAGAGACCGCCGUCCGGCUGCGAAGCGAGGACGUCAGCAUGACGCGACCAACUCGCCCGCCAUGCCGCCGACGAUCCUAACCGAGAUCGGACCCCCAGCAUGACGCGACCAACCCGGCUGCCAUUAAUGAGGAGCGAGAGCAGAGCGAAGUGCGAGAGCAAAGGAAGAGGAUGAUAAAAUAAUAAGGAGCGAGAGUGGAC
rnacentral:lncRNA from 1 species